GCACCUACGGGGGGCAGCAGUGGGGAAUUUUGGACAAUGGGGGCAACCCUGAUCCAGCCAUGCCGCGUGAGUGAAGAAGGCCUUCGGGUUGUAAAGCUCUUUCAGACGGAAAGAAAUCGCAUCUUCUAAUACAGGGUGUGGAUGACGGUACCGUAAGAAGAAGCACCGGCUAACUACGUGCCAGCAGCCGCGGUAAUACGUAGGGUGCGAGCGGUAAUCGGAAUUACUGGGCGUAAAGCGUGCGCAGGCGGUGAUGUAAGACAGAUGUGAAAGCCCCGGGCUCAACCUGGGAACUGCGUUUGUGACUGCAUCACUCGAGUACGGCAGAGGGAGGUGGAAUUCCACGUGUAGCAGUGAAAUGCGUAGAGAUGUGGAGGAACACCGAUGGCGAAGGCAGCCUCCUGGGCCAGUACUGACGCUCAUGCACGAAAGCGUGGGGAGCAAACAGGAUUAGAUACCCUUGUAGUCUCC
rnacentral:rRNA from 1 species